ensembl:lincRNA
UCAGAACAUAGGAGAAAGGAAAAGUCAUUUCAACUCCAGAAGGUGACCUGGAUCCUAUCUAGCACCUCAGUGUGGACUUUUGUAACAUAGCAAGGGAUUUCAAUGCCAUCUUUUGAGUAUUGAAUGAAGGGUGAAUUUGAG